rnacentral:tRNA from 1 species
GUCACUUUGGCGGAGUGGUUAACGCGGCGGCCUGCUAAGCCGUUUCCCUUUGGGAGCGUAGGUUCGAAUCCUGCAGGUGACG